GGCGGGGAUUGCCGUGCGGAAGGGAGGACGGCGGGAGGGCCCGCGGGCAGGUCGCGGGUAGGUGGGGCCGGGCGGGGGGAGCCUGUCUCACCCUGGCACCGCACAGAGCCCCGAGGCCGUGGCAAGGCGCGUGAAAUCCUGGGAUGUUUCCGUGUGGCCCCGCCAGUCAUUUUGCAGGCCAGGUCUGUCGUGAAUUCUGUUUGAGGAAACUUCGCAAAUACUUGACAGGUUUCAGAGUAACAGCCGUGUUAGUCUGUAUUCGCAAAAAAAAAGGGGAGGAGUGCUUGUGGCACCUUGGAGACUGGCCAGUUUGUUUGAGCGUGGGCUUUCGUGGGCUGCAGCUCGCUUUGUCGGGUGCGUGCUGUGGAAAGUAUGGAAGAUCUUUUUGUGCACACAGGGCAUG